rnacentral:rRNA from 1 species
CAAGGAAUAUUGGGCAAUGGGCGAAAGCCUGACCCAGCGACACCGCGUGGGGGAAGAAGGUUCUCGGAUCGUAAACCCCUUUUCUCAGGGAAGAUAAUGACGGUACCUGAGGAAUAAGUCUCGGCCAACUACGUGCCAGCAGCCGCGGUAAUACGUAGGAGGCGAACGUUAUCCGGAUUUACUGGGAGUAAAGAGAGCGUAAGCGGUUGCUUAAGUCGGGUGUGAAAUCUCCUGACUCAAUCAGGAGGGGUCAUCCGAUACUGGGCAACUCGAGGGCGGCAGAAGGAAACGGAAUUCCGAGUGUAGCGGUGAAAUGCGUUAAUAUUCGGAAGAACACCAGUGGCGAAGGCGGUUUCAUAGGCUGUUCCUGACGCUGAGGCUCGAAAGCGUGGGGAGCGAAGCGGAUUAGAUACCCGCGUAGUCCACGCCGUAAACGGUGAACACUUGAUAUGGGGAGUAUCGACCCUCCUCGUGUCGAAGCCAACGCUUUAAU